CACGUAGGGCGCAAGCGUUGUCCGGAAUUAUUGGGCGUAAAGAGCUCGUAGGCGGUCUGUUGCGUCCGCUGUGAAAACUCGAGGCUUAACCUCGAGCUGUCGGCGGAAACCAUCUGGCUAGAGUCCGGAAGAGGAGAAUGGAAUUCCCGGUGUAGCGGUGAAAUGCGCAGAUAUCGGGAAGAACACCCGUGGCGAAGGCGGUUCUCUGGGACGGUACUGACGCUGAGACGCGAAAGCGUGGGGAGCGAACAGG
rnacentral:rRNA from 1 species